rnacentral:rRNA from 1 species
AUUGAACGCUGGCGGCAGGCUUAACACAUGCAAGUCGAGCGGAGAUGAGGUGCUUGCACCUUAUCUUAGCGGCGGACGGGUGAGUAAUGCUUAGGAAUCUGCCUAUUAGUGGGGGACAACAUUCCGAAAGGAAUGCUAAUACCGCAUACGUCCUACGGGAGAAAGCAGGGGAUCUUCGGACCUUGCGCUAAUAGAUGAGCCUAAGUCGGAUUAGCUAGUUGGUGGGGUAAAGGCCUACCAAGGCGACGAUCUGUAGCGGGUCUGAGAGGAUGAUCCGCCACACUGGGACUGCGACACGGCCCAGACUCCUGCGGGAGGCAGCAGUGGGGAAUAUUGGACAAUGGGGGGAACCCUGAUCCAGCCAUGCCGCGUGUGUGAAGAAGGCCUUAUGGUUGUAAAGCACUUUAAGCGAGGAGGAGGCUACUGAGACUCAUACUCUUGGAUAGUGGACGUUACUCGCAGAAUAAGCACCGGCUAACUCUGUGCCAGCCGCCGCCGUAACAC